CACAAUGGUCACAUGUUCUUAGAUUUUUUGGUAUUUUGGGACAGCUAUGUCUUCCUGUCUCAAUUUUUAAAUUAUGGUUUCCCAUUCGAAGCUUCGCUGUGGCUUUACGACGAUCCCCAUUUUUAAUCAACUCCAAAAAUGAGGAACAUUUGGUAUCGUAUUUGAAAGUUGAAUAAAAAACAAGUUUUCUAUUUGACUUCAGAAGAUGAAUUUGAUGUAAUUGGGAUUGAUGUUCUAUAUUUUGCUUAAUUUC